GGCAGCAGUGGGGAAUAUUGCACAAUGGGCGAAAGCCUGAUGCAGCAACGCCGCGUGAGGGACGACGGCCUUCGGGUUGUAAACCUCUUUUAGCAGGAAAGAAGCGAAAGUGACGGUACCUGCAGAAAAAGCGCCGGCUAACUACGUGCCAGCAGCCGCGGUAAUACGUAGGGCGCAAGCGUUAUCCGGAAUUAUUGGGCGUAAAGAGCUCGUAGGCGGUCUGUCGCGUCUGCUGUGAAAACCCGAGGCUCAACCUCGGGCCUGCAGUGGGUACGGGCAGACUAGAGUGCGGUAGGGGAGAUUGGAAUUCCUGGUGUAGCGGUGGAAUGCGCAGAUAUCAGGAGGAACACCGAUGGCGAAGGCAGAUCUCUGGGCCGUAACUGACGCUGAGGAGCGAAAGGGUGGGGAGCAAACAGGCUUAGAUACCCUGGUAGUCCACCCCGUAAACGUUGGGAACUAGUUGUGGGGUCCAUUCCACGGAUUCCGUGACGCAGCUAACGCAUUAAGUUCCCCGCCUGGGGAGUACGGCCGCAAGGCUAAAACUCAAAGGAAUUGACGGGGACCCGCACAAGCGGCGGAGCAUGCGGAUUAAUUCGAUGCAACGCGAAGAACCUUACCAAGGCUUGACAUAUACGAGAACGGGCCAGAAAUGGUCAACUCUUUGGACACUCGUAAACAGGUGGUGCAUGGUUGUCGUCAGCGUGUCGUGAGAUGUUGGGUUAAGUCCCGCAACGAGCGCAACCCUCGUUCUAUGUUGCCAGCACGUAAUGGUGGGAACUCAUGGGAUACUGCCGGGGUCAACUCGGAGGAAGGUGGGGAUGACGUCAAAUCAUCAUGCCCCUUAUGUCUUGGGCUUCACGCAUGCUACAAUGGCCGGUAC
rnacentral:rRNA from 1 species